CCUCGAUCCCGUAAAAAAAUUAAUUAACAACUAACCGCCUCAGCCAGCGGGCAUUAGCCUAGCUUCUCCCGUUUUACGUAGGACGGGAGAAGC
rnacentral:tRNA from 1 species